rnacentral:rRNA from 1 species
UACGUAGGUGGCAAGCGUUGUCCGGAAUUACUGGGUGUAAAGGGAGCGCAGGCGGGACAGCAAGUCAGCGGUGAAAUACAUGGGCUUAACCCAUGAACUGCCGUUGAAACUGCCGUUCUUGAGUGGAUCAGAGGCAAGCGGAAUUCCGAGUGUAGCGGUGAAAUGCGUAGAUAUUCGGAGGAACACCAGUGGCGAAGGCGGCUUGCUGGGGUCUAACUGACGCUGAGGCUCGAAAGCGUGGGGAGCAAACAGGAUUAGAUA